rnacentral:rRNA from 1 species
AUUGAACGCUGGCGGCAUGCCUUACACAUGCAAGUCGAACGGCAGCACGGGAGCAAUCCUGGUGGCGAGUGGCGAACGGGUGAGUAAAGUAUCGGAACGUGCCCAGUCGUGGGGGAUAACGUAGCGAAAGUUACGCUAAUACCGCAUCCGCUCUAUGGAUGAAAGCGGGGGAUCGCAAGACCUCGCGCGAUUGGAGCGGCCGAUAUCAGAUUAGGUAGUUGGUGGGGUAAAGGCUCACCAAGCCGACGAUCUGUAGCUGGUCUGAGAGGACGACCAGCCACACUGGGACUGAGACACGGCCCAGACUCCUACGGGAGGCAGCAGUGGGGAAUUUUGGACAAUGGGCGAAAGCCUGAUCCAGCCAUGCCGCGUGCAGGAUGAAGGCCUUCGGGUUGUAAACUGCUUUUGUACGGAACGAAAAGGUUUGGCCUAAUAAGCUGAGCUCAUGACGGUACCGUAAGAAUAAGCACCGGCUAACUACGUGCCAGCAGCCGCCGUAA